rnacentral:rRNA from 1 species
CAAUAGCGUAUAUUUAAGUUGUUGCAGUUAAAAAGCUCGUAGUUGGAUUUCGGAUGGGACUUGCCGGUCCGUCGUUUCGAUGUGCACUGGCCAGUCCUAUCUUGUUGUCGGGGACUAGCUCCUGGGCUUCACUGGCCGGGACUAGGAGCUGACGAGGUUACUUUGAGUAAAUUAGAGUGUUCAAAGCAAGCCUACGCUCUGAAUACAUUAGCAUGGAAUAACACGAUAGGACUCUGGCUUAUCUUGUUGGUCUGUGAGACCAGAGUAAUGAUUAAGAGGGACAGUCGGGGGCAUUCGUAUUUCAUUGUCAGAGGUGAAAUUCUUGGAUUUAUGAAAGACGAACUUCUGCGAAAGCAUUUGUCAAGGAUGUUUUCAUUA